GGGCACUUGGUCUAGGGGUAUGAUUUUCGCUUCGCAACUUCCGCAUUUGUGUCUGUGAAAGGUCGUGGGUUCAAUUCCCACAGUGUCCA